AGAGUUUAAUUGAUGUGAGGCUGGCCAUGCCAUACAGGAGACGGAGUUAUGACUCAAAUCAAUCUCCCCAAGCAUUUGGGGGCUAGGAUUUUUCAAAGGAGCAGGACCCGGCACACAGAGAGAUACACUCUGACUCUCGGGAGGGAGAGGAAGCAGCCGGGGAAAGCAAGUCUAAAGUCAACGGUGGAUUCCAGAGAGAUGGGGACUUGGCCUGACGUCAAGCAUGUGAUGGUCAGGAGUUAUGGAGCAGCUGGCAUCUCUAUCUGACCACACGCAAAGCCUCCUGGAAAACACGUGGCCAUAUUGGGGUUGAUAAUUCAGGUAGCAGAGUUGGCUUCCAUGCCAGAAGUGGGAGGGACAAAGAAACCACAGACUCCCACAAAAGGAGGAGGAGCUUUCUCUGAAGUGCUACUGCCCAAGAAUCAGACACCUUUUGUGGUGGCCACUGAUGUUUAAAGCUGAGACAUUGGCUUCUGUGCUUGCCUUUCUGGGACCACCCUCCCUUUCACAGCACAUGGAGAUGCUCCACGAAUAAUGUGGCCAAGGCCCAGCCUCCCUCCCCUCUGCAGCAUCUGGAGAUGCUCCAUGAAGGAUGUAGCUCCGGGCCUUCUGAGCCAGGCACCCUCGACUUGGCCAUCUCUAUAACUUUGGGAAGUAGGGUGGGCCGGAGAGACCACCGAGUCCAAAGACCAGAGCUACUCCGGAGUGCCACCUUGUAAUGCACAAUUAUUUGUUUGUGGCAAUAAAAUAAGUGGGAAACAUUGACAUUUAGCUAGAAAAUUGAGGCUCUGACCUAUGCG
rnacentral:lncRNA from 1 species